rnacentral:lncRNA from 1 species
UUUGACUACACAUGCUUAUACAUUUCGAAAUUCCUUGUUGCUCUCUCUUUAUAUACUUGUAAACCCUCAUCAGUAUUAAUUAAUGGAGUUUUGAGUCUCUCUCUCUAGUCUCUCUCUUGUUCUUAAUCUCUAAUCUCUUUAAUUCUCAGAUUAAACUUAAUCACUCUUUAAAUCACAAAAUCUAAUAUUGAUUUGGAUACAUAAAGUGGUGGAGAAUCACCAGGAAGUUGAAUAAAUCUCAUAGGAGUUGGGAUGAAGAAGUUAUCCCACUUUCUAAUCAGGUGAUUCCAGUUUCCCAGUUUGGGAAUAGGACAGCUUCUUCGUCGUUCUAAUCAAACCAGGAUGGAGAGUUUGUCAAGAGCUAGAUCCUUUAAAAGUCAAGUUGGUGUCUGUUGGUGUUUCUUUUGGAGAGUCAGCCUCAAGGGAGUCCCUUUAGGUGUUUGACAAGGUCAGAAGAGGGGUCUAGUUUGUGGUUAAGCUUGGCGUGUGAGAUUAGAAGCAUUUGGGGGAAGAUCUAGGCUAAAGGUUGUUGCUUUAGGCUAAAGGUUGUUGCUUUAGGCUAAAGGAAAUGGAGCUGCUUCAAUCUGGUACAACAAGGCGUGAAGAGAAGAAAG